rnacentral:rRNA from 1 species
GACGAACGCUGGCGGCGUGCUUAACGCAUGCAAGUCGAGCGGUAAGGCCCUUUCGGGGGUACACGAGCGGCGAACGGGUGAGUAACACGUGGGUGACCUGCCCUCAGCUCUGGGAUAAGCCUGGGAAACCGGGUCUAAUACUGGAUAUGACUCCAUGACGCAUGUUGUGGGGUGGAAAGCCUUGUGCGGCUGAGGAUGGGCCCGCGGCCUAUCAGCUUGUUGGUGGGGUGANGGCCUACCAAGGCGACGACGGGUAGCCGGCCUGAGAGGGCGACCGGCCACACUGGGACUGAGACACGGCCCAGACUCCUACGGGAGGCAGCAGUGGGGAAUCUUGCGCAAUGGGCGAAAGCCUGACGUAGCGACGCCGCGUGA